GGGAAACCUCUGGUGAUUUCCAACAUCAAAGGUCACCCUUUCUUCUGACAGCUUAGCGGCCUUUACAUUAAUUUCCUGCUUUAUGCAUUGUUAUAAAUGUUUUGCUUGUAUGGUUAAAUACUAAGAAUGAAGUUCACAACAGACUGGAUUUUGUAAAAUGGGUGUGGGUUUUCUUUUUUUCCAGGAGCUAAACAAGCUGUUCUUCAGAACCCUCCACUGCCUAUGUGAAAAAAGACAGAAAAGUAAAGAUGGCAAAAUUUAUCACAUACCAAGGUGGAGUGUAUGGCAAACAGCUCCUGCUGCAUUUGAGCUUAACUGCAAAUUCCUGGAAGUCAGUAAUAAACUUUCC
ensembl:lncRNA